GGCAAUGGACUUAUGGGCAUAGGCCAUAGAGCUUUAAUUGUCUUUGCUUCUGGCCGUUCAAGCUUUCAAAAUUCAAAGCUUUAAUUGUCUUGUAUUUGUAUAUAAUUUAAGGACUAGGUAUGGUUUAGUUCAAAGAGUAUAAUAAUAUAUAUGGUUUAGUCACUCUUUUGCCUAUCAAGGGUAUUGUUGCUAAUGUUUGCUGUGUAUAUUUUUCUUUUUUAUCAAUAACCCAAGUGUAUUUACUGACUGUUUGUGCUUUGAUUCUUGACGGGGGCUUUGACUGUGCAUCCCAAGACCCAAUUCCAUCUGACUUACUAUCCUCAACUUUAGCUCUGGGGUAUAAUUAAUUCGUGUUAUCGAUUUUUCUAAAUUUUAAAAUUGUAACUUGUUUGUAAAUAGUUACUUGUGUCACUUGGACAUCGCCUUGUUGUUUUAACUAGUCAGAGAUCAUAUAAUCAAUACAACAACAUGAUAUUACCUACCAAACAGAAUUUUGCAAUUUACUCAAGACAAUGGGUUCAACUUACCCACGUCGAAAAUCCUCAUAAUUUUUAUGUACAUCUAAGUUCCUUUGCAACUUUCGUUGACACUAUUAAUAAUCUGAAUGUGGACCAGUUAGAAAACCCAACGCAAAUAGAUCUAGGUGACAUAGUCAUAUAUAAAGCAAGAAAAACGCGCAAAGCAAAAUAUUCAAGAGGGAAAAUACUUAAAAUAAAUUUUGAUGAAUCACCUACAUACAAUAUAUUCUCUAUUGAUUAUGGUUUUAAUGAUGAAAAUGUAAGCAGAGAUCAUAUAUAUACAUGUGCUCCUCACUACAAGAACACUCCACAAUUGGCUAUGCACUGCCAAUUACAUGGCUGUAAUCCAAAUGGAACAGCUUGGAAUGAGGAUGCUACUGAUGCUAUGAUGAGUCUUGCAGGUAUUAGAUUUUAUGAAGAGAUAUGUAGCUGAGAUAAAUGACUUUGAUAGAUACAGAUAGAGAUAGAAUGAAAACAGAAUACAAUUUGCACUAUCCCAAAAUGAAUUUCAAGGCAGCAAUUUAAAACCGAAGAAAAUAUGAAAGGGGGCUAAUAAAAAUGAAAUAAUACCUGAGAAAAAAGCAGAAGUGUUGUGUGUAGAUUUGGGAUUGCUAGUUGAAGCUGAAAUCAAUAAAAUAAAAGCAAUAUUGGAGUCUUACCCGCCAAUUGAAUAUGUUGCAAAGAGGUUCUGUGUGCUGUUCUUACAAGAGAAGAUCUGCCAUCCGAUUAUGAAUUUAAAUACUUAUUUUAGGUAAAGAGGAAGACAAACCCCACAUUGUAAUAGUAUUUCCCCCUGCUGACUUCUAAAGACAUUUCUAUGUAUUAAUGUUAUUAUCAAUUAAAUAUAUUAUUUACAUUU